GAAAUCAACCGAGAUUCCCCCAGUAGCGGCGAGCGAACGGGGAGGAGCCCAGAGCCUGAAUCAGUGUGUGUGUUAGUGGAAGCGUCUGGAAAGGCGCGCGAUACAGGGUGACAGCCCCGUACACAAAAAUGCACAUGCUGUGAGCUCGAUGAGUAGGGCGGGACACGUGGUAUCCUGUCUGAAUAUGGGGGGACCAUCCUCCAAGGCUAAAUACUCCUGACUGACCGAUAGUGAACCAGUACCGUGAGGGAAAGGCGAAAAGAACCCCGGCGAGGGGAGUGAAAAAGAACCUGAAACCGUGUACGUACAAGCAGUGGGAGCCUCUUAAUGGGGUGACUGCGUACCUUUUGUAUAAUGGGUCAGCGACUUAUAUUCUGUAGCAAGGUUAACCGAAUAGGGGAGCCGAAGGGAAACCGAGUCUUAACUGGGCGUUAAGUUGCAGGGUAUAGACCCGAAACCCGGUGAUCUAGCCAUGGGCAGGUUGAAGGUUGGGUAACACUAACUGGAGGACCGAACCGACUAAUGUUGAAAAAUUAGCGGAUGACUUGUGGCUGGGGGUGAAAGGCCAAUCAAACCGGGAGAUAGCUGGUUCUCCCCGAAAGCUAUUUAGGUAGCGCCUCGUGAAUUCAUCUCCGGGGGUAGAGCACUGUUUCGGCAAGGGGGUCAUCCCGACUUACCAACCCGAUGCAAACUGCGAAUACCGGAGAAUGUUAUCACGGGAGACACACGGCGGGUGCUAACGUCCGUCGUGAAGAGGGAAACAACCCAGACCGCCAGCUAAGGUCCCAAAGUCAUGGUUAAGUGGGAAACGAUGUGGGAAGGCCCAGACAGCCAGGAUGUUGGCUUAGAAGCAGCCAUCAUUUAAAGAAAGCGUAAUAGCUCACUGGUCGAGUCGGCCUGCGCGGAAGAUGUAACGGGGCUAAACCAUG
rnacentral:rRNA from 1 species